rnacentral:tRNA from 1 species
GGUCUCAUAGCUCAGCUGGAUAGAGCAACUGCCUUCUAAGCAGUAGGUCGAAGGUUCAGAUCCUUCUGAGAUCA